CCUACGGGAGGCAGCAGUGGGGAAUAUUGCACAAUGGGGGAAACCCUGAUGCAGCGACGCCGCGUGAGUGAAGAAGUAUUUCGGUAUGUAAAGCUCUAUCAGCAGGGAAGAAAAUGACGGUACCUGAUCAAGAAGCCCCGGCUAACUACGUGCCAGCAGCCGCGGUAAUACGUAGGGGGCCAGCGUUAUCCGGAUUUACUGGGUGUAAAGGGAGCGUAGACGGCAGCACAAGUCUGGAGGGAAAUGCCGGGGCUUAACCCCGGAACUGCUUUGGAAACUGGGCAGCUAGAGUGCAGGGGCGGUAAGUGGAAUGCCUGGUGUAGCGGUGAAAUGCGUAGAUAUUAGGAGGAACACCAGUGGCGAAGGCGGCGUACUGGACUGUAACUGACGUUGAGGCUCGAAAGCGUGGGGAGCAAACAGGAUUAGAUACCCGGGUAGUC
rnacentral:rRNA from 1 species